rnacentral:rRNA from 1 species
CAGCAGCCACGGUAAUACGUAGGGUGCAAGCGUUAAUCGGAAUUACUGGGUGUAAAGCGUGCGUAGGCGGUUCGUUAAGUCUGUUGCGAAAGCCCCGGGCUCAACCUGGGAAUGGCAAUGGAUACUGGGUCACUAGAGUGUGGUAGAGGAUAGUGGAAUUUCCGGUGUAGCAGUGAAAUGCGUAGAGAUCGGAAGGAACAUCUGUGGCGAAGGCGACUAUCUGGGCCAACACUGACACUGAGGCACGAAAGCGUGGGGAGCAAACAGGAUUAGAUACCCCAGUAGUCCCUGUCUCUUAUAA